rnacentral:rRNA from 1 species
CAGUCGAACGGACUCAUAUUGAAACCUAGUGAUUUAUGAGUUAGUGGCGGACGGGUGAGUAACGCGUGGAUAACCUGCCGUAUACCGGGGGAUAACACUUAGAAAUAGGUGCUAAUACCGCAUAAGCGCACGGCUCCGCAUGGGGCAGUGUGAAAAACUCCGGUGGUAUACGAUGGAUCCGCGUCUGAUUAGCUAGUUGGCGGGGUAACGGCCCACCAAGGCAGCGAUCAGUAGCCGGCCUGAGAGGGUGGACGGCCACAUUGGGACUGAGACACGGCCCAGACUCCUGCGGGAGGCAGCAGUGGGGAAUAUUGCACAAUGGGGGGAACCCUGAUGCAGCAAUGCCGCGUGGGUGAAGAAGCACUCCGGUGCGUAAAGCCCUGUCAGCAGGGAAGAAAAUGACAGUACCUGGACAAGAAGCCCCGGCUAACUACGUGCCAGCAGCCGCGGUAAUACGUAGGGGGCAAGCGUUAUCCGGAUUUACUGGGUGUAAAGGGAGCGCAGGCGGCGUGGCAAGUCAGAUGUGAAAACCCGGGGCCCAACCCCGGGAGUGCAUUUGAAACUGCCAAGCUGGAGUGCCGGAGAGGUAAGCGGAAUUCCUAGUGUAGCGGUGAAAUGCGUAGAUAUUAGGAGGAACACCAGUGGCGAAGGCGGCUUACUGGACAGUAACUGACGUUGAGGCUCGAAAGCGUGGGGA